rnacentral:lncRNA from 1 species
GUUAAACACCUGAAAUGCUCAAGUAAAUUGUUAAUAUAAAGGGAAUUAUACUCUAGUGUUUUGUAUUCAUCAAAAUCCAUUAGGGGGUCAACAAUCUUCCCCUUUUUGAUGAUGACAAAACACUGAGUAUAUGCAAAAUUUAAAAUUAAACAUAUACACAGUAUUUGAUCAGAUGUACAAGUAUUGUGUUUUGGUUAGAGCUAGAUACAGUAUGCAUAAUUCAAUAUAGUCAACUGUCAGUUCUAUCCUUAUGCAUAAGUAUUGAUCUUAGUAGCUCUUUGAGCAAUUUUGGCAUAUCAUCUAUCACUUUUAGAUUUGAAACAAGUUAAAGUGUAAAUUUUGCAUUUUGCAUUCCAUUUCCAUAUUGGUGGUUCUACUCCCCCUUUUUGUCAUCAACAAUGAAGGGGACAAAUUUUCCUUAGGUACCUAAAAACGCGAUGCCUAUUAGAAUUCAGCAUUCAUAUUACCAUGAAACAUUCAAUGAUUUGGGAAGGUGAAAUUUACUCC